AAGAUACUAGUAAAACAUUUAUUACACUGACUUGUCGAGACAGAAUUGUAGGUUAAAGCCCUGCGUAUCUUU
rnacentral:tRNA from 2 species